rnacentral:rRNA from 1 species
CCUACGGGCGGCAGCAGUGAGGAAUAUUGGUCAAUGGACGAGAGUCUGAACCAGCCAAGUAGCGUGAAGGAUGACUGCCCUAUGGGUUGUAAACUUCUUUUAUAUGGGAAUAAAAUGUUCCACGUGUGGGAUUUUGUAUGUACCAUAUGAAUAAGGAUCGGCUAACUCCGUGCCAGCAGCCGCGGUAAUACGGAGGAUCCGAGCGUUAUCCGGAUUUAUUGGGUUUAAAGGGAGCGUAGGUGGAUUGUUAAGUCAGUUGUGAAAGUUUGCGGCUCAACCGUAAAAUUGCAGUUGAAACUGGCAGUCUUGAGUAGAGUAGAGGUGGGCGGAAUUCGUGGUGUAGCGGUGAAAUGCUUAGAUAUCACGAAGAACUCCGAUUGCGAAGGCAGUUCACUGGACUGCAACUGACACUGAGGCUCGAAAGUGUGGGUAUCAAACAGGAUUAGAUACCCGUGUAGUC